rnacentral:tRNA from 1 species
CCCUUGAUAUCUCAGUUGGUAGAGAAUCUGCCUGCAAUGCAGGAGACCCUGGUUUGAUUCCUGGGUCAGGAA